AGGUCAUUUCAAAGAGGGCUUGUGGGACUGAAACCAGGAGCUCUUAACGCUGUGACCAAAGAUUAAGGUUCUCCACAGGACGACAGACACUAGUGCUUUGUUUUUUUCCUGAGAGAGCUACAAGG
rnacentral:snoRNA from 1 species